rfam:Stegodyphus mimosarum contig42343, whole genome shotgun sequence.
GCCUUCGUGAUGUAAUGGUUAGCACACUCGACUCGUAUUCGAGAGAUCCGCGGUUCGACUCCCUGAGGCA